UGUACUUGCUCUUCUGGUACGCAGAAUUGGUUAGGCAAAAACAACUACUCCCUGCAGUAAGAAAUGCCCUGUCCGGAGAAAAAGCCCCAAUAGAAUUGGUCGCAUCUUCCACGACAACUUUCACAUUACUGGUAAUCUACUACUGACAUUCUUCAAUGCUUUCUAAUAAUUCAAAUUGCACUCUCUUUUUUUCCAACCCAUAUGGUUUCAAAUAGAAAUGUCAAAUACAUUGCAGGCUGUUAUCCAUUUAUCCUUUGCCAGAAUCAUGGCUAAUUUAUAUAUUUUUUAAAAAAAUUUACUUAUAUGUGCACAGUAUCUGUAUACGAACUUAAACUGGAUUGGCAAUAACAAUAGGCAUGUUGUCAUCUAUUAAUAGAAUUCAAGUAAACAACUUGCUAAAAAUAACGUGACAUAUAUACUGUUACUUACCUUCUUGGAAUUUUCAAAUUAAAAACUCUACGGUCAUUUAGACUUAAUAUUCCUUAUUCUUUCCCUUUGCUUACACCAGAUUGACCUCCUAAAAUUAGAUGUCCUAACUUGCUGCUGUUUAAUUAAAUUACCUUUCCUAAUUCCUUUUGUCUAAUACACAUUUCUAUCUUCUAUUUUUUUUCUCUUUCCUUUGAUUGUAUUUACUUUUUUAUUUUUUUUAUACUUUUUUAAUUUUUUAUAACUUUUGUACAAUAGCUCUACAAAGCAGUUGUGGAUCAUCUGGCACUGUUACAAGAACACUAUGUUUGUACAAGGACCAUCUCCAAUCGCACUCCUCCAUGCUGCGGCUUCUGAAUGCCAUUUACCAUAUGCAUCUUUCAUCACUGAAAUUGCAGACAGUUGGACAAUAUUAUGUGGUGUCGAAUUGGAAUUGCCACAGUUGGAACUCAUAGGACCACGCCAUGAGCUUUUUUUUCUGGCAAACGGCAUAUUUAGAUCUUAAUGAUGCAUAUGAAAAAGCAUGUCUCAAAGCAGUUUCCUUUCUGCAGCUUUUUUAUAACCUCACAAUAACAAAUUAUUACUGUGAUGGACAAAUUACUCAAAGAGAAGUUAGAAAUGAAAAUUUUCCCACACUCACACUAGAUUACUACCCGUCAAAAGUGAACUACGUAUGCAAUGGUAGUAGCACGCUGCAUCCCAAACGUACACACAACUAAAUAUGUUCUUGCCACUUUUUCUUGAAUCAAUAUCACUUAUUUCUAUGCCUAAGAAUAGUACCUCACAAUUACCAUCAAUAUUUCAUGUCACUUUAUUUUUUUAUUUUUCCCCUUUAUUUUGUUCCCUGUUUUAUUUUUUCCCCCUUUUAUUUUAUUUCCUCUUUCCCUAUCUAUGUGCUUUAUCUUCUUGCUGAUACAUUCCCCUUUAAUUAAUAGUAACUGUUAAUCAGUUACUCAUGUAUCCAACUAUGUAGACUAAUAUUUGUAUCGUAUCAAUUACUAGACAUUUAAUUUUA